rnacentral:RNase_P_RNA from 1 species
CGAGUCGACCGGGCGGCCGCGGCGGUGCGCAGCACCGACGAGGAAAGUCCGGACUCCGCAGGGCAGGGUGGUUGCUAACGGCAACCCGAGGUGACUCGCGGGACAGUGCCACAGAGAAGAGACCGCCCGGCCUCACGGCCGGGUAAGGGUGAAACGGUGGUGUAAGAGACCACCAGCACCCCGGGUGACCGGGGUGGCUAGGUAAACCCCACCCGGAGCAAGGCCAAGAAGGGGUCGCGAGACCCUUGCGCAGACGUUCGAGGGCUGCCCGCCCGAGUCUGCGGGUAGGCCGCACGAGCCUGCCGGCAACGGUAGGCCUAGAUGGAUGGUCGCCGCCCGAGACGCGGGUCUCGGGAUACAGGAUCCGGCUUAAACGUCGGCUCGCCCG